UCCGACGGUCUGGGAUGGGCCCGCGGCCUAUCAGCUUGUUGGUGGGGUAACGGCCUACCAAGGCGAUGACGGGUAGCUGGUCUGAGAGGACUGACAGCCACACUGGAACUGAGAUACGGUCCAGACUCCUACGGGAGGCAGCAGUGGGGAAUCUUGCGCAAUGGGCGAAAGCCUGACGCAGCGACGCCGCGUGGGGGAUGAAGGCCCUCGGGUUGUAAACCCCUUUCGGCGGGGACGAAGCGAAAGUGACGGUACCCGCAGAAGAAGUCCCGGCUAACUACGUGCCAGCAGCCGCGGUAAGACGUAGGGGACGAGCGUUGUCCGGAUUGAUUGGGCGUAAAGCGCGCGCAGGCGGUCGUGCAAGUCGGUUGUGAAAACCCGGGGCUCAACCCCGGGCCUGCAUCCGAUACUGCUCGACUAGAGGCAGGUAGGGGAGAUCGGAAUUCCUGGUGUAGCGGUGAAAUGCGCAGAUAUCAGGAGGAACACCGGUGGCGAAGGCGGAUCUCUGGGCCUGUCCUGACGCUCAGGCGCGAAAGCUAGGGGAGCGAACAGGAUUAGAU
rnacentral:rRNA from 1 species